GUGCUCACGUCGGCAGCACAUCUACUAGAAUUGGAACGAUCCCCAGGUUAGCAUGGUCCCUCCGCAAGGAUGACACGCAAAUUCCUGAAGCAGUCCAUAUUUUU